UGAUGACCACCACCGUUGCACACCACCGAAAUGAAUUGUGAUUCGUGUACGGAGUCUG
rnacentral:snoRNA from 1 species